AUGUCCAAAAUAAGGGAUAAGGCACACCAGCCCAACCCCCAAGCCCCCAACUCCAUAUGUCCAAAAAGAAGCCACAAGGUCCACACCAGCCCCAAAUCCUAUGUCCAAAAUGAGGCACACCAGCCCCAAGAGCCCCCAACUCCAUAUGUCCAAAAUGAGGCACACCAGCCCCAAGAGCCCCCAACUCCAUAUGUCCAAAAUGAAGCCACACCAGCCCAAGUUCCAUCAAUCGUCCUAGUAAUCCAGAUCAUCAUCAAAGCCAAUGGAGCCUCUCUCUUCACCUCCACCUUCACCUUCACCUUGAUUUCCCUCUUGAUCAUCUUCACUUGUUGA
rnacentral:rRNA from 1 species